rnacentral:lncRNA from 1 species
GUAUUAGAGCUUAGGAGUCUGGAGGAAGAUGGAUUAAGUUUCCCUCCUGUCCAUGAUUCCGAGACCCAAACUAUUCCCUCAGAAAUAAGCAGAGAAGACAGAAACUGGCCGUCUGCAUGGUAACCCAUUAGAGGAAAUGCUUCCCAUGGCCCCUUCUUUCCAUAUCAGCCCACCAACUGCACAUCUUCUAUAGUACAUGCUUGACACAGCUUCCAUGAACACUCAGAUUUCUAUGGAUUGCAGUGAAGGAUAUGGUGUGUGCAUGUCAUCUGCCAUCGUGGGGAGUGAGCUUUAGAGAUGGAGAAGGAGAAAGAAGGUGGGGCUUAAAGGGCACCAGGUGUGAUGUCAGAAGACGUGCUCUGUGAUGUUGACAUUGGAGUGAGGGUCCAUCUAUGCUGCUGCUCCUUGUCUGAAAUCUGGGCACAGUGAUGCCAUGGGACCCCCAUGAAGUUCUGGAAAUGGGGAGAACCGUGAAUUUCCACUUCUCUCUCCUCUGUGACAGCUCCAUUACCUGCCUUGGAAAGUCUUUUCUCUGGACCUGGAAGAAGAAGAUCAAAAAAUGGUGUCUUCUCCUACAAUUGUUCCUUGCAAUCAUGCAAUAAUGUCAUUGGAUCAAUAGAGCUGGUGUCCACUCUGCCAGGUUGUACCCUCCACCAAGUGUCCCAGAGCCCACCCACGCAGCAUCCUUCUGGUGGCUGAGGAAGGCUUAAUGUCCGCAUCCCCAAAGGAGUGCUAAAGCCAUCGCAAAAGAAAUAUCUGUUUUCUUGUAUGCAUCCUGCAGGCACUUUCCUAAGUGGUGCCAACCCACAGGCGGGGAAACUUGGUUGGCUGCCUUACUAAAUCUUCACCUGCCUGACCCCAGCCUGACAAUUCCUUA